CCAGACUCCUACGGGAGGCAGCAGUGGGGAAUAUUGGACAAUGGGGGGAACCCUGAUCCAGCGACGCCGCGUGAGUGAAGAAGUAUUUCGGUAUGUAAAGCUCUAUCAGCAGGGAAGAAAGAAAUGACGGUACCUGACUAAGAAGCCCCGGCUAACUACGUGCCAGCAGCCGCGGCAAUACGUAGGGGGCAAGCGUUAUCCGGAUUUACUGGGUGUAAAGGGAGCGUAGACGGCAAUACAAGUCGGAAGUGAAGUGCCCGGGCUUAACCUGGGAACUGCUUUGGAAACUGUAUGGCUGGAGUGCUGGAGAGGUAAGCGGAAUUCCUAGUGUAGCGGUGAAAUGCGUAGAUAUUAGGAGGAACACCAGUGGCGAAGGCGGCUUACUGGACAGUAACUGACGUUGAGGCUCGAAAGCGUGGGGAGCAAACAGGAUUAGAUACCCCAGUAC
rnacentral:rRNA from 1 species